CCAAUGCGGAUAAGACAUUAAGAAUAAACACUCUUAUGUCAUUAUGACAGCCUGAAGUGUCAUUUAACACACCUAACACUUCUUCUAUACUUCAAAGGUUUUUCUGAUGCUGAUUGGAGGAGUAAUAUUGAUGAUCAAAGGUCCAUAUUGGAUUUAUGUCUCUCUGGGAGCCACAUGGGUUGUCUUCUUGGACUCAACAUUGUGGCUAUUUGUCAUGUCACACUAAAGAAACACUGUAGCAGAAAUGCAACAAGGUAUCACCAGCCCGGAAUAACUUGUUUGUAUUGAUAAGGCGCCAGGCAGCUGAAAUAUUUGGCUACAAGGUUUGUAGAUUGGCUUAAUCUGUGCUUGCCAAGAUGCUACCAUGCAUCUUGCUGAUGAAACCCUUCUGCUAUAAGUAGAUAUGGAACUGUUAUUAGUUGCUGUAGAGUUGCCAUGUUUAUUUCUGAAGUUCUUUAAUUUUAGUUUUGAUGUGAGAGAGCUUCAACAUGAAGCUAAUGUAAUUAUGCAAUCCUUUGGACUGUAGUUCUUUAUUUCAAAAUAACUAUC